UUAAAACACCGGUUCCCUACGAUCACUGAAGUUGAGCAACGUCGAAUCUGGUCAGUACCUCGAUGGGUGACCGCUUGGGAGUAUCAGGUGCUGUAAG